GACGAACGCUGGCGGCGUGCUUAACACAUGCAAGUCGAACGGAAAGGCCCUGCUUUUGUGGGGUGCUCGAGUGGCGAACGGGUGAGUAACACGUGAGUAACCUGCCCUUGACUUUGGGAUAACUUCAGGAAACUGGGGCUAAUACCGGAUAGGAGCUCCUGCUGCAUGGUGGGGGUUGGAAAGUUUCGGCGGUUGGGGAUGGACUCGCGGCUUAUCAGCUUGUUGGUGGGGUAGUGGCUUACCAAGGCUUUGACGGGUAGCCGGCCUGAGAGGGUGACCGGCCACAUUGGGACUGAGAUACGGCCCAGACUCCUACGGGAGGCAGCAGUGGGGAAUAUUGCACAAUGGGCGGAAGCAUGAUGCAGCAACGCCGCGUGCGGGAUGACGGCCUUCGGGUUGUAAACCGCUUUCGCCUGUGACGAAGCGUGAGUGACGGGAAUGGGUAAAGAAGCACCGGCGAACUACGU
rnacentral:rRNA from 1 species